rnacentral:rRNA from 1 species
UUGAUCCUGGCUCAGAAUCAACGCUGGCGGCGUGCCUAACACAUGCAAGUCGAACGAGAAAGUGGAGCAAUCCAUGAGUAAAGUGGCGACCGGGUGAGUUACACGUGACUAACCUACCUUCGAGUGGGGGAUAACCUCGGGAAACCGGGUCUAAUACCGCAUAAUGCCUUCGGGUUAAAGGAGCAAUUCGCUUGAAGAGUGGGUCGCGGCUGAUUAGCUAGUUGGCGGGGUAACGGCCCACCAAGGCGAUGAUCGGUAGCCGGCCUGAGAGGGCGCACGGCCACACUGGAACUGAAACAUGGUCCAGACUCCUACGGGAGGCAGCAGUGGGGAAUUUUGCGCAAUGGGGUAAACCCUGACGCAGCAACGCCGCGUGGAGGAUAAAGUCCCUUGGGACGUUAACUCCUUUCGACCGGGACGAUAAUGACGGUACCGGUGGAAGAAGCCCCUGCUAACUUCGUGCCAGCAGCCGCGGUAAUU